ensembl:lncRNA
GGGGCGAAUACUUAUGCAAGGCCCUGCAUACUGAUAUCUUCGAGUCAGUAUUAUUUUCCACUGAGGGUUGGCUGAAACGAGGGUUUUUCCGCAGGUGGAGCAAUGCGAGAACAGAUAGAGCAACUGCGACACACGACACUCCGAGGAUUUAAACUUGAAGCACAUCCUGCCUCUGCUUUUCUCCAGCUCUUGAAACAGGGCGGAUGUGUAGAUGUUGAAGGAUAAUGUCGGGGAAUAUGCAGCUCAUUCAGUUCGCACGGAUUCUUCUGUGUCUCGUGAUUUUCAGGGACCUUUGGCACACAUAUUCAGGUACAUUGGCUAUUUCCCCGGGAAAACACCCAACUUUAAUCACCACUGUCAGGGAUGCCGACUUGCUAUAUGAGUAAUGUAGGCUCAAUUCCUCGGGUCUCCAGGGGUUAUCUAACUUCAGCUAGUAAAGUACUGGAACAUGGUCAUGAGGAUUCUCCAAGACAAAUGAGAAGGCAAAGUUUAUUAAGUUUUUACUGAGUGGACUUGUGAUUGAUGAAGACAACAAUGUUGGAAUGCGGGACCAAGAAAUGGCGUCUAUGAGGCAGGGACGAGUUUUCUUAAGCCUUAUAAAUGAUGACAUACCUAAAACUGUGCCAGCGAUGGAGGAACUGCUUGUCAUGCUUGAAGAGGAAGCACAGUCCUUUAAUGAGGAUCAUUUUGAGACACUCAUAUUGGGAAUCAUCUAUUCAGCCUACCAGGUCCGUGAGAAGAGGCAAGAGAGUCAGCAGCAGGCGUGGGCAGGUGUCCUCGGGCGCCUGGCCAACGUCACUCUGGUACAGCUACGCAGAUCUUGAAUUAUGCCACAAAAUGCAGAAAACAGUCAGAUCCAGUCGUUCCUCAUCACAUAUGCAUGAAACACAAUAUACAGUAAUCAAUGUCAGUAGAAAAGUUUGUGUAUAAUAUAUAUUUCCUUUCUGUAAGUAAAUAUCAGUGGAAAGAUGGAGUCUGAAGAAUUGUCUGUUGAUUGUGUAUAAUCUUUAGUAGCAGUGGUUGCCCAAUUUGAGUGUAUACCAGAAUUUGUAACUCUGUGAAGCAGUCUGGCAAAACCUGUAGGAUGUUGCUGCUGCUGCCUUCUGGUAAACAGCCAACAAUGAAUAAAAAUUGCAAGUACAACUCUUAAAAAUA